CGAUUGGAUAGUGCGGGAAACCGCAUGAAACUCGCCUGUAAUGCCGGUAUCAUCGCGCAAGCGGUGUGGCGACUGCACUUGCUGCUGCGGCGGCUAACUU
rnacentral:ncRNA from 1 species